UACGUAGGGGGCAAGCGUUUGUCCGGAAUCAUUGGGCGUAAAGAGCGUGUAGGCGGCCUGGUAAGUCCGCUGUGAAAGUCCAGGGCUCAACCCUGGAAUGCCGGUGGAAACUGUCAGGCUCGAGUCCGGAAGAGGCGAGUGGAAUUCCUGGUGUAGCGGUGAAAUGGCGCAGAUAUCAGGAGGAACACCAGCGGCGAAGGCGGCGCCUCUGGGGCCGGUACUGACGCUGAGGAGCGAAA
rnacentral:rRNA from 1 species